GAUGAACGCUGGCGGCGUGCCUAAUACAUGCAAGUCGAGCGAACGGACGAGAAGCUUGCUUCUCUGAUGUUAGCGGCGGACGGGUGAGUAACACGUGGAUAACCUACCUAUAAGACUGGGAUAACUUCGGGAAACCGUAGCUAAUACCGGAUAAUAUUUUGAACCGCAUGGUUCAAAAGUGAAAGACGGUCUUGCUGUCACUUAUAGAUGGAUCCGCGCUGCAUUAGCUAGUUGGUAAGGUAACGGCUUACCAAGGCAACGAUGCAUAGCCGACCUGAGAGGGUGAUCGGCCACACUUGAACUGAGACACGGUCCAGACUCCUACGGGAGGCAGCAGUAGGGAAUCUUCCGCAAUGGGCGAAAGCCUGACGGAGCAACGCCGCGUGAGGGAUGAAGGUCUUCGGAUCGUAAAACUCUGUUAUUAGGGAAGAACAUAUGUGUAAGUAACUGUGCACAUCUUGACGGUACCUAAUCAGAAAGCCACGGCUAACUACGUG
rnacentral:rRNA from 1 species